GGAGUUAUCCGGUGCUUCUUCUGUGAGUGAUGUCCUUCCUGCCGGCUAUUAACCCGCAGGCCUUCUUCCUCACUGAAAGUGCUUUACAACCCGAAGGCCUUCUUCACACACGCGGCAUGGCUGGAUCAGGGUUGCCCCCAUUGUCCAAUAUUCCCCACUGCUGCCUCCCGUAGGAGUCUGGGCCGUGUCUCAGUCCCAGUGUGGCUGAUCAUCCUCUCAGACCAGCUACGGAUCGUCGCCUUGGUGAGCCGUUACCUCACCAACCAGCUAAUCCGACAUAGGCUCAUCCGAUAGCGCGAGGCCCGAAGGUCCCCCGCUUUCCCCCGGUAGGGCGUAUGCGGUAUUAGCCUGGGUUUCCCCCGAGGUUAUCCCCCACUACCGGGCAGAUUCCUAUGCAUUACUCACCCGUCCGCCGCUCGCCACCAGGGAGCAAGCUCCCCGUGCUGCCGCUCGACUUGCAUGUGUUAGGCCUGCCGCCAGCGUUCAAUCUGAGCCAUGAUCAAACUCUGA
rnacentral:rRNA from 1 species